rnacentral:rRNA from 1 species
AUGAACGCUGGCGGCGUGCCUAAUACAUGCCAGUCGCGCGAACAGAUAAGGAGCUUGCUCCUUUGACGUUAGCGGCGGACGGGUGAGUAACACGUGGGUAACCUACCUAUAAGACUGGGAUAACUUCGGGAAACCGGAGCUAAUACCGGUUAAUAUUUCGAACCGCAUGGUUCGAUAGUGAAAGAUGGUUUUGCUAUCACUUAUAGAUGGACCCGCGCCGUAUUAGCUAGUUGGUAAGGUAACGGCUUACCAAGGCGACGAUACGUAGCCGACCUGAGAGGGUGAUCGGCCACACUGGAACUGAGACACGGUCCAGACUCCUACGGGAGGCAGCAGUAGGGAAUCUUCCGCAAUGGGCGAAAGCCUGACGGAGCAACGCCGCGUGAGUGAUGAAGGUCUUCGGAUCGUAAAACUCUGUUAUUAGGGAAGAACAUACGUGUAAGUAACUGUGCACGUCUUGACGGUACCUAAUCAGAAAGCCACGGCUAACUACGUG